UACGGAGGGGGCAAGCGUUAUUCGGAAUCAUUGGGCGUAAAGGGCGCGUAGGCGGCUCGGCAAGUCUGAUGUGAAAUCUCCACAGCUCACCUGGGAGAGGUCAUUGGAAACUGCUGAGCUUGAGGUCCGGAGAGGCCGAUGGAAUUCCCGGUGUAGCGGUGGAAUGCGUAGAUAUCGGGAAGAACACCAGUGGCGAAGGCGGUCGGCUGGACGGCACCUGACGCUGAGGCGCGAAAGUGUGGGGAGCAAA
rnacentral:rRNA from 1 species